rnacentral:lncRNA from 1 species
CAUCAUCUCUACGGAGUCUUUGCAGUGGGGAUGGUUUGAGUGGGAACUGGCAAUGUGGCAGUUAGCAGAAGUGACUCUCCAGGGGAGCUAAAAUCCAUGUAUUUGGGCACACACUUGAACAAUAUUGCUAGAGAAAUUUAAGCAAGAGCACAAAGAAAGAAUCAUCUGAAAGGAAUGUGGAGAUCAGAGAAAAAUGAUGGGAAAGUUACCACAGCCUGCAAAUGAGAAAUGAUGAGAGCCUGCCUGGGUUUUGCCAGGACGAUUAAAUAUCAUUGAUGCUUCUGGUCUACAAUUAGUCAGAGAAGAGAUUAAAAAAAUGAUGAGUAUUCAAGAAGGAAAGUGUUUGCUUUAACAUAUGAAGAAAAGGAGCUUCAGAGUGGUGAUUAACCCCAGAAUUGUGUGGAACGGAUAUGGAAACAAGACCACAGGAGCAUCGAGAACUGAGCAGAACUGAAGGUGACAUGAAAAUCAGCUGCAAGAUUCACCUCAGGGUGAUAAUGGGCUGCAGGUGGCUGCAGGAAUCCCGGGACAUUCUAGGCACUGCCAUAUUUUCUUAGGGGCCAGUAAGGAUGGCUAUCAUCAGAUGUACCUGAUGAUACAAACAUGGGCUGUCUUGCCUUCUAGUAUUCAUUCUUGAUGAUUGCAUCCAGAGCUCACUUUGGAGGUGCAGAUCAACUCUUCUUCAGGCUCAUCCAUGCGACUUGAGUGGGCUCUCAUCCCCAUUCCCAGGGGCUUAUGACAAUCAAGGUUUCCACUCCUCCAUGGUCUCAAUGGUUUUUCUCCCCAUGGGAAGCACAUAAUCCCAUUAGAGGCCACGGGAAGCUUUUUUGUUGGGCUUUGAGGGAAAAAAGGCUUUUGCAGCCAAUGAAUCGAUCAAUGUGUACUUCAACCUGGAUUGUAUGUAUGCAUCUCCUAGAUUGGGCGGAUGAUGAAGUGAGGCUGGAAGUGCUGAGCAUCUUCCUACCUGGGAUGACUGGGCUGAGCAGGAAGCCUACCCCGGGGUUCCAGCCAAGUUGGAGCCUGUGAGUGUGUGGUGUAGUUUAACGCCCUGAUUAAAUCACUAGGAAGCCAUUUCUCUCUCUCCUCCCAGACCAGAUCAGACAAUAUGUUCCCUUAUUUCUACUAAAGCCCCAAUUGGAUUUUGUGUCUUUUGAUACUGAAAGAAUCUUACCACAAAUAAAAUAAUUUGUCAUGUGGCUCCUACAUAUUUAUUCAGUUACAUAAACUAACUAAAUAAAUGAAUAAACUGUCAAUAAUGGUAGUUCCUCAUCUAUGAAUGACUCUUUACAAAGCCUAUCUCGCUUAAUAGUCAUAAUAAAUACUGAAGUAGAUACUAUUUAUACCUUUUUUUUAAAAGGAAUUAAAUAUUUUCAGGGUUAUACAAAGCAUGAGUAUUGUGGGUACAAAUUCAAGCUUUCUAACUCAAAUUUGAAGACUUAUCCCCAGGAUACUUUUACAUCUUUAGCUAGUACCAUGUAUACCUCAAAAGCUUACAUUAUUUUUCACAUGUGUUAGGUUUUGAGGGAUAAUCAAUAAGGAGGGCAUACUUUCAGGCUUCUUAUUUAUAACUGUGAAAUUUAGAAAUUGAUGGAGUAGCAGAUUUCUCGGUAGGAGACAGCUGUUUUAAAAUGCCCCAUGUUUUUAUUAAAGUAAAAAUCUCAAAAAUUGUCUUUUAAAAAGUGGCUCUGGCCAAUCUUAGAUAAAACAUCAUUUACUAGACUUAGGAAUUUCCUGUAGUAAAUUUCAGAUUUACUUUUCGGUCUCACAUCAUCAAAGAGAUCAUAACCCUUUGUGCAAUUAUGGUCUUGAACCAAGGCCUAUUCUCUAGGUCACUGCUGUCAGGACUUCAAGAUAAUUGUUUCCAUUGCAGGAUUUGAUUUUUAAUUCCCCGGAUGUUCUUGACGUGGUUCAGUUCUUCAGGAAAUCAUCACCCUCAUGAGCCCUCCCUGCCACUUGCAGAUAGGGCUUUCUCCCGGUAAGUUCUGGAGUCACGGCAGAGCUCAAUAAGUCUGAUUGGGACCUCCUAUGAUUAU